rnacentral:sRNA from 1 species
AAGGAAGUAAAAUGGCGGACCUGGCGAACGAAGCCUGCCAUUGCUCCGCCCGUCUUUGUGUUUCAGAAGGAUAAAGGACAAAAGUCCCCUGCAGAGCAAAAAAACUUGUCGGAUUCGGGAGAGGAGCCUCGGGGGGAGGCUGAGGCCCCCCACCAUGGCACGGGUCACCCCGAGUCAGCUGGCGAGCAUGCCCUAGAACCUCCUGCCCCUGCUGGCGCCUCAGCCAGCACUCCUCCGCCUCCCGCUCCUGAAGCCCAGCUUCCUCCUUUUCCGCGAGAACUGGCAGGGAGGUCAGCUGGCGGCUCCAGUCCUGAAGGCGGAGAAGAUUCUGACAGAGAAGAUGGAAAUUACUGCCCUCCUGUCAAGCGAGAAAGAACGUCCUCUUUAACCCAGUUCCCACCCUCACAGUCAGAGGAAAGGAGCAGUGGCUUCCGGUUGAAGCCACCAACGCUGAUCCACGGCCAAGCCCCCA